rnacentral:lncRNA from 1 species
GUCACAUGGCUGAUUGGUAGCCAUUUUGCUGAAGUUAAAAAAAGACACUUGAACCGUCAUCUUGACUAAAGAUGACCACAUGGAAAUUAGAGUUUAUAAUAUCAGACAGACUGCCAGAUCCUGACAGUGACCCAAAGUCUCCAAAGAAGAUUAUGAGGCACCUCAGCUCCUGCACCUGGACCAGUGAGCGAGAUGCUCAGAUGUGAUACCUGCUGCCUGCCAGAAGCUGGCCGAGACUGUGGACAAAGCUGCUGGACACUGGAAAAUUGAUUGCACCCCCUUUGCCUAGACAAAACAAGGUCAGUCUUUUCCAUGUCCCUCUUCCACAGAGAAGAAAAAUCCUCUCACCUUAUAGGCCUGGCAAAGAUUGCUGUUCUUUGAGACAUCUGCCUCCAGCGCUAAUGGAGAGACUUGGGUUUCUGCUUCUGGCAGACACAUCUGAGUAUAUCAGUUGCUGACUACAGGCUGUUCCUAAAUAGACUUCGAGCCCUGGACUUGCUGUGGAUAUGAACCAGUCCAGCUGAUGUGGACACUGCCUGUCUCUGCAACAGAGUCUGCCAACAGCCCCUGAUGGAUUCCCCAUUGCAUAAAUUCCUUUUUUUUUUUUUUGCUUUUGACUAGCAUUUCAACCUUCUGGGGUCCCUAACUUCGUCCCAAAGUCAACAGGAAGUAGCAUGGGAAAGAGUACGCCGCCCAUUUUCCCUGGUUAAAAUGCUAAGUCAGAAGGAACUCCCUUGCAUGGGCAUGCCAAUAUCUCUCACUCCCUGAUGGGGGCGCUAGAGAGACAGCAAUUCCAUGAUUGGAAUCCCCCCCCCAAAAUAAUGGGGGAAUGAAGGGACCAGCUCCCCAUUUUGGCAGCCAUAACAGCUGAACACGUGCUUGUCUGACCUUGUCUUAGUCACUAAGGUCAGAUGCCCGCCCCUUUGGCAGCCAUAACAGCCAAACACGUGCUUGUCUGACCUUGUCCUAGUCACUAAAAAGUCAGAUGCCUGCCUUGUGACAAGGAACCAAUCAGAAGUUAGCUGGUGGCGCUAUGAUUUAUGGCUCUGGGUGUGCUUUAUGGACAAGUGCACAGCAAUGACGCACAGAGCAUAGCAACCACCCUGGGAAGGCCUAUGGGCCAUAACAACCAGUUGGCCAAUCAACAUAGGGCAAGCCCUCCAAGACUGGAGGCACACCAAUCCUGAGCCUGUGCAUACCCCUAGACACUCUCCUUACGCUGCCCUACAAGAUCUCUAUGCAGCCGGUUCGAGGUGUCUUUCCUAGCCAUCCGCCACGGCGGGUGGAUGAAAGGCCUGAGCUAACAUGGGGUUAGCUCGUUAAACUACAAUAAAGCCUUGUGCAGUUUGCAUCAAGCUUUCGAAUCUGUC